rnacentral:rRNA from 1 species
CCUACGGGCGGCAGCAGUGAGGAAUAUUGGUCAAUGGACGAGAGUCUGAACCAGCCAAGUCGCGUGAAGGAUGACUGCCCUAUGGGUUGUAAACUUCUUUUGUAAAGGAAUAAAACGAGGCACGUGUGCCUUUUUGCAUGUACUUUAUGAAUAAGGAUCGGCUAACUCCGUGCCAGCAGCCGCGGUAAUACGGAGGAUCCGAGCGUUAUCCGGAUUUAUUGGGUUUAAAGGGAGCGUAGAUGGGUUGUUAAGUCAGUUGUGAAAGUUUGCGGCUCAACCGUAAAAGUGCAAUUGAUACUGGCAGUCGUGAGUACAGUGGAGGUAGGCGGAAUUCGCGGUGUAGCGGUGAAAUGCUUAGAUAUCACGAAGAACCCCGAUUGCGAAGGCAGCUUACUAAACUGUGACUGACAUUGAUGCACGAAAGUGUGGGUAUCAAACAGGAUUAGAUACCCCUGUAGUC